UGCGGUGACCGUUUAUGGUGUUCAUGCGUGUACGUAAAUGCAGAAGAAUCUGAGUUUCACAAUGGGUGAGUGAAAAGUAUGAAGGUAAUGAGUCAGGAAGGAUUGAUUACGAAUGUUUGUAUUUGUGUUGUGAAAUAGAAAGUUGCGCUGUUUCGUUUGUGCUUAUGUGCAUGCGUUCGUGUAGUGCAGAUCCCCUUGUGUUUUGUGUUGACAAAAUGACAAGAUCGAUGGCAUUUUCCACUGACGUGUGAAAAGCAGCUGUUCAACGCGCUCCUUCGUCAGCUUGCUCGACAUCUCAGACUCGGCUAGCACUACUGUGCGAACAGUGAGCAGGGUGAAGAUACUGAUACAUAAUAUCAAGUUGCGAGUGCGCUCUCAAAUAUUUCAGAACAUGCCCAGGACGCACAGGACAGAGUAAUUAUAGCUUUUUCGCUGCUUCUAACAGUGCGAUCAAGAAACAUAGCAUAUUCAGGUAUGACUUGCUUAGUUCUGUGUCUCAAUAGGAAAUGCUAGCCUGACUAAGGCUGACAAAUUUCCACAUUGUGUGUUCCUCAAAUGAAGCACAAAAUUUUCGGCAUCAAGCUAUUUAACUGUACUUACAAUGCCAUUAAUUUCGUUAUCUCCCAACGCUGAUGUUACCGAGGUUUGCUUCUAGGGUAAUUUCGUUUAAUAGGCAGGCUGAUUCGGGCGUAGCCUGUUCUAUUGCCUAAAGAAGUGACUAGUCUGUUCAGCUUCUCUAUACUUAUUUGUUGUCGAUAAAAGUGUGAGAUGGCUGAUGGGUUUCUUCACUUUCACCGUAGAAUUUUCUGGUGAAGAACCAAAGCUUUUAACAUUUGAGGAUACCAGAAAGGCAAGUUGGUGUUCCAACUUCGUGAUAAUAGACUUGAGCGAGGAGCAAAUUUGACUUUGAACAUUUCUCUAACAGAAGCUCAUUUCUCCGGGCAGCAGCGACUGCUGCGAAAAAAAUUGCUCUUCGAGGUCCCAUAUUUACGUGAAAAGAUGAGUGACGUGGCCUGCUAAUCAGUUUCACCUGAGAAACUGAGAAUUUUACGAGCGCUCAUGAAGGACAAAGUAGCAACCUCCUCCAGCUCGCAGUGAGGCAAGGGGACGAUGAAGUUCUGCGACCUGUUAUGCUGUGAUGCACUGUAAUGCCAAACCGGCUGCUCAAGGACGUGACCCGCAGUAAAGGAGAGCAGCACAUAAAGUCCUGGCUUAGGCACGCCAAAGAACCUCAUGACAGGACGUCGACAAAAGAUAAGGGCUCGGAGUUCUACACAGAACAGCAGCGACAGCUGGGCCAAUCCGUGCGAAACUCUUCAGGCCUAGCUUUGAGCCUAGAUUUCACGAGAGAAAAAAAUGUGCAUUCUCUGAGAGUGUGGUAGAUACACAUUUCUUUCCUCUGUAUAUUUGGCUCCAGACUGAGGGCUAUGCAGGUGUUGCCUUCAAAAUGAAAAGUGUUAUGCCAUUGUCAUCUCCAUGCAAUACACAUCGACAAUAUUAAUGGGUUUUCGUUAAUGUAUAAUGUUGGACAAAAAAAAUUCAGCUCAUGAAACAGAAGGUGGGAUUAUCUUAAAGUUUAUUCUGUGUAGAGAGCUCGGGAGCAGA